AAACCAGCACCUCAAGUGGUCAGGAUGAUUAUUGGGCCUAAAGCAUCCGUAGCCGGCUCUGUAAGUUUUCGGUUAAAUCUGUACGCUCAACGUACAGGCUGCCGGAAAUACUGCAGAGCUAGGGAGUGGGAGAGGUAGACGGUACUCGGGAGGAAGUGGUAAAAUGCUUUGAUCUCUCGAUGACCACCUGUGGCGAAGGCGGUCUACCAGAACACGUCCGACGGUGAGGGAUGAAAGCUGGGGGAGCAAACCGGAUUAGAAACCCCUGUAGUCC
rnacentral:rRNA from 1 species